rnacentral:rRNA from 1 species
CAGAACGAACGCUGGCGGCGUGCCUAACACAUGCAAGUCGGAUGCGAUCAUCAACGUCGGUUGGUUAGUAGCAUGGCAGACGGGUGAGGAGCACGCACCUGACCUGACACACGGAGGGGGAUAGUCCCCCGAAAGGGGGUUGAAUACCGCGUACGUUCGUCAAGGCAGCUUGAUGAGGAGAGGUGGCCUCUGCAUGCACGCUAUCGCCGUGUGAGGGGGGUGCGUCCUAUUAGCUGGCUGGUGGGGUAAUGGCCUACCAGGGCGACGAUGGGUUGCUGGUCUGAGAGGAUGAUCAGCCACACUGGGACUGAGACACGGCCCAGACUCCUACGGGAGGCAGCAGUGGGGAAUUUUGCGCAAUGGGGGGAACUCUGACGCAGCAACGCCGUGUGAGUGACGACGCCGUUCGCGGUGUAAAGCUCUGUGAGGCGGGACGAAGGCUCCGGGUGAAGAACCUGCGAGGGUGACGGUACCGCCACAGCAAGCCCCGGCUAACUCCGUGCCAGCAGCCGCGGUAAGACGGAGGGGGCGAGCGUUGUUCGGAAUUACUGGGCGUAAAGCGCCCGCAGGCGGUGACGUGAGUGUUUCGUGAAAGCCCCCGGCUCAACCGGGGACGGGCGAAGCAGACUGCGUGACUUGAGUGCUGGAGGGGGAGGCGGAAUUCCUGGUGGAGCGGUGAAAUGCGUAGAGAUCAGGAAGAACGUCAGUGGCGAAGGCGGCCUCCUGGACAGACACUGACGCUGAGGGGCGAGAGCGUGGGGAGCGAACGGGAUUAGAUACCCCGGGUAGUCCACGCCGUAAACGCUGGGCACUACGUGUGCGGGGUGGGAGAUCCACU